AAGGAUUAAUGUUACAUGUGCUAGCUGGUGAAAGCAGCAGUAUGGCAUGAUUAAUGGAGGGAUUAAACACAUACAGAUUGCCACCGGGAAUCAUUUCUGGAGUCCAAAUGAAAUGGAUACAGUUGUCAACAGUGAGAAGUUUGUUCAGGGGUCUGGCAUAAAUCCUGCCUCAGACGAAUGGUGAAUGAUAACACCCAAGACCUGUCCCAGGAGCAACAGUCAGAUCUGCUGUCAGAUCAGGAUAACAUACCAGAUGAUGAUGAGCACAUGUCUGACGAUGAAUAUGUACCAGACUCAGAGUCACAAGAUGAUGAUGAUGAUGAUGAGGAUGAUGCAGAUGCAAGCAUGCAGUGAUACCUGAUGUUGAAAUAUCUUAUGGGUCAGACACAAGCAUCCCAGUUGUGCCCAACACAUCAAAAGACUCUCCUCAACCAGCCGUGGAGAACCUGCAACUUUACUUCGAUGUUCUCCAAGCCACUCUUAAUGAUCUUAAACUUUACUGAAUGCACAUAAAAUUCUGUUUAUGUUAUUCUCUAGAGCUAGAGGUAAUGGUAGCAAAAACUUAUGUUCAAACUAACUUCAUAUUCCCACUGUACAAGGAUCCAUUGUUGAGAGUUAUAGAAUUAAAGCACCUUGGUAUUUAGAUAGAUGACAAAUUCACAUUCAAAUUUCAUAUAGACAAUCUUGUCAACAAAUUGUGACAAAAAAUUGUUUUUUGUACAGAAAUAGAACUAACUUUCCUAUGUUUUGUAGGAAAAGGACUGAUGAAGCUGCUUUUCUCUAUUAUGGAUUAUGGUGAUGUAAUUUCUAGGCAUGCCUCUGCCUCUACUCUUAAGCCCUUGAAUGCUG